rnacentral:rRNA from 1 species
GACGAACGCUGGCGGCGUGCCUAAUACAUGCAAGUUGAGCGCUGAAGGUUGGUACUUGUAUCAACUGGAUGAGCAGCGAACGGGUGAGUAACGCGUGGGGAAUCUGCCUUUGAGCGGGGGACAACAUUUGGAAACGAAUGCUAAUACCGCAUAAAAACUUUAAACACAAGUUUUAAGUUUGAAAGAUGCAAUUGCAUCACUCAAAGAUGAUCCCGCGUUGUAUUAGCUAGUUGGUGAGGUAAAGGCUCACCAAGGCGAUGAUACAUAGCCGACCUGAGAGGGGGAGCGGCCACGUUGGGACUGAGACACGGCCCAAACUCCUACGGGAGGCAGCAGUAGGGAAUCUUCGGCAAUGGAAGCAAGUCUGAACGAGCGACGCCGCGUGAGUGAAGAAGGUUUUCGGAUCGUAAAACUCUGUUGGUAGAGAAGAACGUUGGUGAGAGUGGAAAGCUCAUCAAGUGACGGUAACUACCCAGAAAGGGACGGCUAACUACGUG